rnacentral:rRNA from 1 species
UGGGGAAUACUGCACAAUGGGCGCAAGCCUGAUGCAGCCAUGCCGCGUGUGUGAAGAAGGCCUUCGGGUUGUAAAGUACUUUCAGUCGGGAGGAAGGUGUCAAGGUUAAUAACCUUGGCAAUUGACGUUACCGACAGAAGAAGCACCGGCUAACUCCGUGCCAGCAGCCGCGGUAAUACGGAGGGUGCAAGCGUUAAUCGGAAUUACUGGGCGUAAAGCGCACGCAGGCGGUUGAUUGAGUCAGAUGUGAAAUCCCCGGGCUUAACCCGGGAAUUGCAUCUGAUACUGGUCAGCUAGAGUCUUGUAGAGGGGGGUAGAAUUCCAUGUGUAGCGGUGAAAUGCGUAGAGAUGUGGAGGAAUACCGGUGGCGAAGGCGGCCCCCUGGACAAAGACUGACGCUCAGGUGCGAAAGCGUGGGGAGCAAACAGG